CUGGGAUAACUUCGGGAAACCGGAGCUAAUACCGGAUAAUAUAUUGAACCGCAUGGUUCAAUAGUGUAAAGACGGUUUUGCUGUCACUUUAUAGAUGGAUCCGCGCCGCAUUAGCUAGUUGGUAAGGUAACGGCUUACCAAGGCAACGAUGCAUAGCCGACCUGAGAGGGUGAUCGGCCACACUGGAACUGAGACACGGUCCAG
rnacentral:rRNA from 1 species